rnacentral:rRNA from 1 species
UACGGGGGGGGCAAGCGUUGUUCGGAAUUACUGGGCGUAAAGGGCUCGUAGGUGGCCAAUUAAGUCAGACGUGAAAUCCCCAGGCUUAACCUGGGAACUGCGUCUGAUACUGGUUGGCUUGAAUUCGGGAGAGGGAUGCAGAAUUCCAGGUGUAGCGGUGAAAUUCGUAGAUAUCGGGAGGAACACCAGUGGCGAAGGCGGCGAUCUGGGCAGAUACUGACGCUGAGGUGCGAAAGCGUGGGGAGCAAACAGG